UUUUAUUUUAAAACCAUUUAACCUUUAUAUAUUUUUUUUCUGAAAAACUGCUCUCAAACUCCCCCUUUUUAUCUCUUCCUCUUUUCUUCAAUUAAGGUUUCAACACCCAUCAUCGCCGGCGGUUCACCGUGCCGAACGGAGAGGGGAGCGGCCACGGGGUAGAUCCGGUAAGACUCUUUUCUUCCUUGAUUCUUUUUCGUUUUAAAGUAAGUUAAUGAAAAAAAAAUAAAACAAAACAAAGAUAAACAGAAAGAUUGAGAUAACAGAGGAAAAAAAUUGAAGUUUCACCUUCUAAGCUUUUCUUUUUUCUUUUAUUUUUGAUACAAACUUUUUGUACAUCCUCCCCCCUUUUUCGUUUGUUGUUUGGGUGGCUUUUAUAUGGCCUAAUUUUUACAUACUUUAUUAUUAUUUUCUAUUCUUGCUUCUGUUUUGCUUGUUUUCAGGGCAUGGGCAUGGACGGUGGGGUGUGUGAUGGUGCUGGUGGCAGACAGCAUGGGAGAGUGGGAGUGGUGCUGGUGGCAGACAGCAUGGGAGAGUGGGAAGAGGCAAGUGGGAGUUUAGGGUUUUGGGAUUGGGCUUGGAUGUUGGGCUAGGUUAAUUUUAGGUUUUGGGUUUGAGGAUGGGUUAAACGGUUUAAUGGGCCUGGGUAUUUUGUAAACGGGCCAAAAUUGGCCUACAACAACUUUUGUUAGUGAAUUAUCCAAAAUUUAGUUCCGAAAAACUCUCAAAAACUGAACAAAUGUGGAUAGAAUAUAGACUGGUUUGUUGUUAGCAAUGUAUCAUUCCAUCUUAUUAAAACAUAUUAAAUGUAAAUACAUAUAUUUUCAAUGAGAUAAUAUAAUUUGAUUUACUAAAUACUUACAAA
rnacentral:lncRNA from 1 species